rnacentral:rRNA from 1 species
GACGAACGCUGGCGGCGUGCUUAACACAUGCAAGUCGAACGGUGAAGCGACUUUCUUUUUGGUGGGUGUGGAUGAGUGGCGAACGGGUGAGUAACACGUGAGUAACCUGCCCCCUUCUUCUGGAUAACCGCAUGAAAGUGUGGCUAAUACGGGAUAUUCUGGGUCUGUCGCAUGAUGGGUCUGUGAAAGAUAUUGUUUCGGUGUGGGAUGGGCUCGCGGCCUAUCAGCUUGUUGGUGGGGUGAUGGCCUACCAAGGCGGUGACGGGUAGACGGCAUGAGAGGGUCGGCGGUCCCGCAGGAACUGAGACACGGCGCAGACUCAUACAGGACGCAGAAGGGGAGAAUAUGGAACAAUGGGCGCAAGCCUGAUGCAGCGACGCCGCGUGAGGGAUGGAGACCGGCGGGUUGUGAACCUCUUUCGCCAGUGAAGCAAGCCUGCCUCGUUUGUGGGUGGAUUGACGGUAGCUGGAUAAGAAGCGCCGGCUAACUACGUG